rnacentral:rRNA from 1 species
GUGUCAGCCGCCGCGGUAAUACGGAGGAUCCAAGCGUUAUCCGGAAUCAUUGGGUUUAAAGGGUCCGUAGGCGGUCUUAUAAGUCAGUGGUGAAAUCUCCCCGCUCAACGGGGAAACGGCCAUUGAUACUGUAGGACUUGAAUUAUUAGGAAGUAACUAGAAUAUGUAGUGUAGCGGUGAAAUGCUUAGAGAUUACAUGGAAUACCAAUUGCGAAGGCAGGUUACUACUAAUGGAUUGACGCUGAUGGACGAAAGCGUGGGUAGCGAACAGGAUUAGAUACCCCUGUAGUCC